rnacentral:rRNA from 1 species
GACGAACGCUGGCGGCGUGCCUAAUACAUGCAAGUCGAGCGGACUGGAGGGAGCUUGCUCCCAAAGGUCAGCGGCGGACGGGUGAGUAACACGUGGGUAACCUGCCUGACAGACUGGGAUAACGCUUGGAAACGAGUGCUAAUACCAGAUAGGCUGCCUGAUCGCAUGAUCGGGCAGGGAAAGAGGCUUUCGCCUCACUGUCAGAUGGACCCGCGGCGCAUUAGCUAGUUGGUGAGGUAACGGCUCACCAAGGCGACGAUGCGUAGCCGACCUGAGAGGGUGACCGGCCACACUGGGACUGAGACACGGCCCAGACUCCUACGGGAGGCAGCAGUAGGGAAUCUUCCACAAUGGGCGAAAGCCUGAUGGAGCAACGCCGCGUGAGUGAUGAAGGCCUUCGGGUUGUAAAACUCUGUCUUCUGUGACGAACAAGCCUGUGAGUGGAAUGCUCAGGCCCUGACGGUAACAGAGGAGGAAGCCACGGCUAACUACGUGCCAGCAGCCGCAGUAAAAC